GAAGAAAUAAGGGUGCUUUCGAGACCCGACUCUCAUUAUUAUUACCCUGUGCAUUAAACUUUUUUUUAAAUUUAAACACUAUCAGUUUUGAAUGUAAUCAGCUUGUUUUAACAAGUAAAUAACAAAAUAAAACUUUCAGCAACGGAUCUCUUGGCUCU
rnacentral:misc_RNA from 1 species